GGAGGGGGAUAACGGCUGGAAACGGCCGCUAAUACCCCAUAUGCCGAGAGGUGAAACGAAUUUCGCCUGAGGAUGAGCCCGCGUCUGAUUAGCUAGUUGGUGGGGUAACGGCCCACCAAGGCGACGAUCAGUAGCUGGUCUGAGAGGAUGAUCAGCCACACUGGGACUGAGACACGGCCCAGACUCCUACGGGAGGCAGCAGUGGGGAAUUUUCCGCAAUGGGCGAAAGCCUGACGGAGCAACGCCGCGUGAGGGAUGAAGGCCUCUGGGCUGUAAACCUCUUUUCUCAAGGAAGAAGACCUGACGGUACUUGAGGAAUAAGCCACGGCUAAUUCCGUGCCAGCAGCCGCGGUAAUACGGGAGUGGCAAGCGUUAUCCGGAAUUAUUGGGCGUAAAGCGUCCGCAGGCGGCCUUGUAAGUCUGUUGUUAAAGCGUGGAGCUUAACUCCAUUUAAGCAAUGGAAACUACAAGGCUGGAGUGUGGUAGGGGCAGAGGGAAUUCCCGGUGUAGCGGUGAAAUGCGUAGAUAUCGGGAAGAACACCAGUGGCGAAGGCGCUCUGCUGGGCCAUAACUGACGCUCAUGGACGAAAGCCAGGGGAGCGAAAGGGAUUAGAUACCCCUGUAGUCCUGGCCGUAAACGAUGAACACUAGGUGUCGGGGGAAUCGACCCCCUCGGUGUCGUAGCCAUCGCGUUAAGUGUUCCGCCUGGGGAGUACGCACGCAAGUGUGAAACUCAAAGGAAUUGACGGGGGCCCGCACAAGCGGUGGAGUAUGUGGUUUAAUUCGAUGCAACGCGAAGAACCUUACCAGGGUUUGACAUCCUGCGAACCCCUGAGAAAUCGGGGGGUGCCUUCGGGAGCGCAGAGACAGGUGGUGCAUGGCUGUCGUCAGCUCGUGUCGUGAGAUGUUGGGUUAAGUCCCGCAACGAGCGCAACCCACGUCUUUAGUUGCCAUCAUUCAGUUGGGCACUCUAGAGAGACCGCCGGUGAUAAACCGGAGGAAGGUGUGGAUGACGUCAAGUCAUCAUGCCCCUUACAUCCUGGGCUACACACGUACUACAAUGCUACGGACAAAGGGCAGCAAGCUCGCGAGAGUUAGCAAAUCCCAUAAACCGUGGCUCAGUUCAGAUCGUAGGCUGCAACUCGCCUACGUGAAGGAGGAAUCGCUAGUAAUCGCAGGUCAGCAUACUGCGGUGAAUACGUUCCCGGGCCUUGUACACACCGCCCGUCACACCAUGGAAGUUGGCCAUGCCCGAAGUCGUUACUCCAACCC
rnacentral:rRNA from 1 species